UGAGACUUCCUAUAAAGGGCUGAUUAUGGUUCUUUCGUAUUGCAAACAUGAUACUUUACUCUGAACUGUGGCUAAUCUUUAUUCUUUUGUUUAUAAUAUUUUUCCAUCGGAAUGUUCGGAAACAGUAUACCAUCGCUCAGCCUUUUCGAGCAUUUUUUUGCCCCCAAAAGAAGAAUGAAAACUUACUUCAUUUGAUUUAUAGCGGGUCGGUUAGGACCAACACAGACCACAGGGUGAGCACCCCCUGCAAGCCUCACUAUCACCUCUUCCAGCAGAAACCUAGUUUUCCAGGAGGUCUCCCAUCCAGGUACAGACCAAGCUCAAUCCUGCUUAGCUUCAGUGGGCAACCGGUCUUGGACUGCAGGGUGAUAUGGCUGCAUACGCACACAUAGAACCUUUACAUCACACAUAAGCUUAUUUAUUGCAGAGGAAGGUGUUCUCUAAAUAUUCACUUCUGUGGCAUUGCUAAGAAAAAACACUUUUGUAACCUUUAUUUUUAAGAAUGUAUUAACUUACAUCGCUCCAAAUUCAGAUUAGCUAAUUCCAUUUCAUAAAAACUAAUAUAAUAUAAAACAUGUUUUUUAAUUUUUUUGUGAUUUAUAUUUAGAGCCAAUCACAAACAAACCCUGAUUGUAUUGGGUAAUGUUUAAAUGUACAUAUUUAACAAAUUUCAACAGCUGUUUUUCUUCUUCUUCUCUUCCUCUUUCGCUUUCGUUUUUCCCCAGUGUUUGCCUGACGUUGAUGACGGAAAAGAGGGGGAAAAUCUAAAACUGGUUCAUUAGACGCCCACGAGCUGAUCUGGUAACACUGUGAGCAUCAAGAGAAGUUAGUUGAAGAGGAAGAGCAGCACGAUGGCAUUCACCUCAGCGGUUCUCAUGUUCCUGUCUGCGGGUUUAUUCACGGUAACAGACGGAGCUGACUGUGAGAGCUAUUACACCAGCAAGAACAAGUACAGACCUUCGUUUAACUGCGGGUUUCUGCAGCACUGCUGUGGAACCUGCAAUGACAGAUUCUGCUGCCCCCUUGAUAUUUUGAGGUUAUCCAAGCGUGAUCAAAAUAUGUGCAAUAUCGGCAGAAACCUUGGUUUUAUCAUUGGCUUAUCAAUAGCAGGGUUUGCGGCCUUCGUCAUCUUGUUCAUCUGCUGCUGCUGCUGCUGCUGCCCCUGCUGCUGUUUCUAUCAAACGUGCAGAAGACACAGAACUGCGGUACAAACAAAUGUAACUACAGUCAUGAAUUCACAAUCCAUUCAGAUGCAGCCGGUAAUGCAGGUAGUCCAGCCCCAACAAUACCAACCAGUGCCGACUCAAGCAGGUUACGGGGGUCAGCCUAUGCAGACAGCACCAUAUCAGGGACAGUCAUAUGCACCAGAACCCCCACCCUCGUAUGACAUGGCCACGAGUCCUGGAUAUCCCACUAUUCAGGGUGCAUAUAAUGGAGGCCAGGCCAUGUACCCCAUGAAGUCACCUGACCAGCCGGGUGCUGCUCCUGUCCUUUCAGAGACAUUGAAUCAGCCAGCUUACAACCCCGACUACAUGCAGCCACCAAAAACCGGUUACUAAACUGCAACCAUCUGUCAAAUCAGUCAUUGCUGGAUUGUGGAGUUUGACGCAGUUUCGCAAGGCAGUAAAAAUGUGCAUUAUACAAGACUAUGUGCUAUGGUCAGGGUUAUUAGUUUUUUAAUUUUAGUUAUUUAGUUUUAUUUCAAUUUCUUUCAUUUUAUUAAAAAAUAAAUAAAUGAUUACUAUAGAAAGUUUUACAUGAAAAUGUACAAGCAAUGAGUGAAAAUAGAUUCACACAUUAAAACAAAAUGCAGUUUAAGAUUUAUAUUAGUGUUUUCUGCCUUUGGUAUUAAUAAUUCUGGUAUACACUGAUAUACAAUAUAAAAUUAAAUAUACUAAAAAUACAAAAAUGUAAAAUAUAACUUGCCAUCUUUAUUUUAUUUUCAUUAUUUUUGUUAGUUAAUUUUCUUUAGUUACAGCUCAUGUAAUUCUGUUGAGUUUGCAUAAAGGUUUUUUUUUCUGAAUUUCAAAUGGCAGGAAGUGUGAUUAUAUAUAAAGGAAGUGUCAACUAUUUUUUUUCCUUUUGAGGGUAUAAAUGCAACCGCGUUUUGAAUAACAAUGAGUGUCACAAAACUUUCACAAUUAUGUCAUGAGUCCCACUGACAUUCUGCACCAACAAGUUUAAAUCCACACACUCGUUUUCAAGCACAGAAUGGCUGUUAAGGUAGGAAAAAUGGUUACUUUUUUAUAGCAACCUUUAUUAAAGCAUUAGGAAACCCCCAUCCCAACAUUUGCAGUGCCUUUUCAGAUUGUAUUUUACCGUUUCAGGUGACAUUGCUUUUUUGAGAAGCAGUCUAUUUGUUAAAUGGCUAUACAUUGUGAAUAUGUUAAAUUGGUGUUUUAUAUGUUUUCUAUGUGUGAAAGAUGGAAAAAAACAUUUUUUAGUCUCUUUUACCCAGGAACUUGGGACUUUGGCCUGGUACUCGGUGUGUUUCCACCACAGGAACCAGGAACUAAAAGUUCCAGUUAAAAAAAUGCCCCCCUCAGAAAGUCCCUGCUGGCGAGGUAGUACUUUUUCAAAGUUCUGGAACUUUCGGGGGCGGGACUUGGGCGCUAAACAUCCUGAUUGGUUGAGUUCACGCAGCAUUGGCUGGGUUCAACCACCAUUUAUUGGGAUCAUUUUCAAAAUAUUACUGUUAUUGUGUCAUGAAAUAUAAUUUUAAAAGUAUGUAAGGUGAGAAUGUAGUUGUUUAAAACUCAAAUCUGUGGUUUAUUUAUAAAGACAGUGCCUAUUUAAAAAUGUGUUUCGCCGAUCUCUGAGACGUGAGCUCCACGUGAUCAGCGAGAGCUCAGUCCUCAUGUAUCCGCCGAGAGCAGCCUCACCUCGGCUAGACCUUCUGAUGUGUGCCGCUGGCUCUGAUGUCUCUUUUUAGUGGUUAAACAUAAAAUAUAAUUCAUUUUGGGUAAAUCUAAAAGGUUAUCUUUGGUCUGUAUUCAAUUUAUCUAUAUGUUAAAAUGAAAAUAAAAAGGCAAAUUUAUAUCAUA